GUCUUUUUGAUAUGAUAAAAAGUCUGACCUGCCCACUGAAAUUUGAAUGGCUGCAGUAUUUUGACUGUACAAAGGUAGCAUAAUCAUUAGUUUUUUAAUUGGAAGCUGGAAUGAAGGGUUGGAUGAGGAGAUUACUGUCUCAGUAUAAUACAUUGAACUUUAUUUUUGAGUGAAAAAGCUUAAAUUUUUAUAAGGGACGAGAAGACCCUAUAGAGUUUUAUAUAAAAUAUUAUAUGUUUUUUUAGUAUUAAUUUAUUUAUAUAUAAUUUUGUAUUUGGUUGGGGUGACUUAAUAAUUUGAUUAACUUAUUUUUAUAAAACAAUAAUUUUUGAUUAUUUGAUCCACUAAUUGUGAUUAUAAGAUUAAAUUACCUUAGGGAUAACAGCGUUAUUUUUUUUGAGAGUUCUUAUCGAAAAAAAAGAUUGCGACCUCGAUGUUGGAUUAAAAUUUAUUUUUGGUGUAGAAGCUAAA
rnacentral:rRNA from 1 species